UGAAAACAAAUAUUUUCCAAUUAGGGAUUAUCAAAAAAAAAAAAGCUAGGACGCACAUCAAUUGAAACUCAAACUAUUCUUAGGCGGCAAAUACUAAGCAAAAGAAAACAUCCAAAUCCAACCUUUAAUUACUUCAUCAAUACUUUGUCCUAAAAAAAAUUGAUUUCUUCAAGAAGAGCAAAACUAGCAAUACUCCCGCAAAGCUGUUUCUCUGAUCUCCUUCCUUUACUUUAGGCUCCGGCCAGUGCACCACCUUUCCCACCGUCCUCCAACCUCCGAUAAUCGCUGCCUGUCCCUCUGCUGCCGUUAAUUUCGAGCAUGCUGAAGACACUAGAGAGGUAUCAAAAGAGAAAUUUAUGGAUCCCCGAACAACACUGUCUCAACAAGAGAGGCCCUGGAAAUAAGUAGCCAGUAGGAGUAUCUUAAGCUAAAUGCGCGUUUUGAAUCCCUGCAGCGUACACAAUCGUAUGGUGGAGGAGCUUGGUCCUCUAAGAAUCAAGGAGCUUGAAUCUAUUGAGAGGCAGCUUGACAUGUCACUGAAGCAGAUCAGAUCAAUAAGGUUUUUUAACAAAGCUCCCACGUAUUCUCAAAAUACAAUUGACGAGCUAAGGGAGAGGUGGAUCUCAUACGUUACCGAAUAUCACCAACCAAAUAAUGAUGAAGAUGAUGAUGAUGAUGAUGAUGAUGAUGAUGAUCUAGUGUGACUUAAGCUAGCUCAAGCAGAUGGUCGGUUACCUCAGUUCACUCCUACAGACGAACUGCCUUGUUACCUCAGUUCACUCCUGCAGACAAACUGCCCUGCUGCUGCAGAAGCUUUGGUUGUUGCUGCUGCAGAAGCUAUGGUUGCUGCUGCUGCAUAGUCGCCUAUUGCAGCCCUUUGAUUUAUUUUUUUUGAUUUUUUUUAUUGACGUUGGAAUGGUAUUUUUUAAUUUGCGGUACAGUUGUAUGGAUCAUCUUGUCAAUGAAUGAUAGGAUUUUGUUCUUCACAAAAAAAAAAGGGAUUUUCUUAUUGUAUGAACAACAGGAUUUUGUUAUUGAAUGAAAUGAUUUUUGGAAA